CUUUUUUUAGCUCAGUUACUAGAGUAUGAGACUCUUAAUCUCAGGGUUGGGGGUUUGAGCCCCAUGUAAAAGA